UACAGAGGUGGCAAGCGUUGUUCGGAAUUACUGGGCGUAAAGGGCGCGUAGGCGGCCUACUAAGUCAGACGUGAAAUCCCCCGGCUUAACCUGGGAACUGCGUCUGAUACUGAAAGGCUUGAGGAUGGGAGAGGGAUGUAGAAUUCCAGGUGUAGCGGUGAAAUGCGUAGAUAUCUGGAGGAACACCGGUGGCGAAGGCGGCAUCCUGGACCGAUACUGACGCUGAGGAGCGAAAGCCAGGGGAGCAAACGGG
rnacentral:rRNA from 1 species